rnacentral:rRNA from 1 species
CGCGUAGGCUGUGCUGCAAGUCAGGCGUGAAAGGCCCGGGCUCAACCUGGGAACUGCGCAUGAUACUGCGGCGCUUGAAGGCGGGAGAGGAUGGCGGAAUUCCCAGUGUAGAGGUGAAAUUCGUAGAUAUUGGGAAGAACACCGGUGGCGAAGGCGGCCAUCUGGCCCGCAAUUGACGCUGAGGCGCGAAAGCGUGGGGAGCAAACAGGAUUAGAUACCCUGGUAGUCCACGCCGUAAACGAUGAGUGCUAGACGUCGGGGAGCUUGCUCUUCGGUGUCGCCGCUAACGCAUUAAGCACUCCGCCUGGGGAGUACGGUCGCAAGAUUAAAA